AUAUUUCACGAUUAAUACAAUAUAUUGUAUUAAUAAAAUAUAUUAUGUUUUUAUAAUUUUCGCCAUUCUUAAUGUGAUUAAUAAUUAUUAAAAUAAUCCAAUUAUUUUAUUUAUAGAAACUAAUAACUAAGUUUAAAAUUAAAUAAUAUUAUUUAUAAAAAAAUAUUUACAGAUAUGAAACACAAAUUAAAAUAUUUCACAUUAUCGUUUAAAUGAUAUCUAAUGUAAAACAAAUUUUAUUAUAUUUUUCUUGUUAUGAAAAUAUUAUUUAUUAAUUAUUAAUUAAUUAAAAUGUAGAAGUUUCUACAAAAAAAAUCAAAAUUCGUUUUUUUUUUCAUAAACACUCAAAAAUUUGGUUUUUGGUUUUUCUUCAUUAAAUGGUUAAACUUUUCAAAAACUAGUUUUCCUAAAUUUUAGGGAAUAUAUUUAUUGAAAAUCUUGAUUGGCAACUCUCAUAGUUUUUACAAGAACAAAAACUAAAACCAAAAACUUGAUUAGAUGAACAAUGGUUUUUGCAAAAACAAAAACCAAAAACUAAAGCAAAAACCACAAACAAUCAACCUUUAGUCAGCAUAAAACAUGAUAUAUGUACUUCUCUAGUUAAAUUACUAAAUAGAAAUGUGUGUAUGUUAAAAUGCUCAAAUAGAAACAUGAUAUUUGUUAUUUCAAAAAAAAAAAAAAUGUGUGUAUGUUGUGAUGCUUGAGUCAAAAAAUUCUUAGUUACACAACUAGCUAAUUGUAGGGUCCUAAAAACUUUUUUGCUCAAGGGCCUUGGUAAUAAUGAGCUGGCCCUGACUAUUCAUCCAAAGACUUUUUGUUCUUUUAUUUUGAUACAUCUAUACUAUUCAAGCAGAAUCCUUCAUAGGAUUAUGCCCCUGCUUUUUCAAGUUAUUUACAAGUUUCUGCCAUUGUCUUUUAUUUUUUAAAAAAAAAAUAAAUACGCCAUUAUAAAAUAGCCAAUCGAAAUCGUGAUAUUUUUAAAGCCCAUCUACGAUUUUUAAUGCUCUAAAACGUUAUAGCUCAUCUAUGUUUGAUUUGUCUUACAAAAUUGACCAAACAUAAAUGAUCAAGCCCAAUACUGUUUUACCUUGAUCUCUAUACCAUUACAAACCCAUCAAAUCAUCUUCUCUGAAAACCUAAACACUGAAAUGAAAACACAAAACAAGAUGAAUAUAAGCCUCUAUAUUUUGAACAAUAUCCCCAAUAUAUAUAUUUAGAAAACAAAUUUUACACGAAACAUAUGAAUAUAAAUUUUACACGAAACAUAUGAAUAUAACCCUCUAGAAAAUAAAUAUAAAACAAUAAUUAGAAAAUCAAAUUUGAAUUUUUUUAAGAUUAUAUAAAUUUAUUUUAAUUCAUCUUGGAUAUCAUAUCUAUUUCAACUAUAAGUUUUCAAAUCAUCCCCUAAUUUUCAUAAUCAAUUAAAAGAGUAAUGGACUCCUACAUUUCAGCAAGUAUUAGUAAUUUUAACAAGAUACAUUUUAACUACUUUCACCGUGCAAAAUGUAUAACCAGAUAUAGAAAAAGAAGAUACGAUAUAGCUACAUUCACAGUUCCACAAAAUCACUCUAUAAUUAUACUCACCUAAUUUCUAAGCCUUAAAUUUGGUAACUGAAUUUGACUAGCAAAUAUCCCCAAGAUUUAGAGUAUUCCACAAGUCUUAGGUUUCAAAUUAGUAACUGAAUUUACUAGCCAAUAUCCCCAAAAUCACAUUCAAAUCUUGCCAAGAUUUAGAGUAUUCCCCAAGAUUUCGACAAACCUAAACAACUCUAAUUAUUGCCUCUUCCUAUUAUAAAUAACGACGCAUCUUCCUAAACAAACUCAUACCGUCAAACCAAAAAAUGGCUUCUAAAGCACGAAUCAACACAGCUAAUAGUUCUAUUGAAGAAAUAACCGCCAUCAGCGACUGGAAGCCAAAGCACGCUACUAAGAAGGUUCAUGUCAAGGUUCUACAUUCGUGGACACAAAACAUUAAUCAAGGCCGGGGGGGGGGAACCAUGGAAUUCGUCUUGGCUGAUGAGAAUGUAAGCAAUCCGUACUUUUUCAAUAUCGUUUUGUUUUUUAACUAAAUUUAUGUUAUUUGAACUACCUCUUAAUAAUGUUAAUAUUUUAGUUUUUGUAACAUGUAUAAGGGGCAUAAAAUUCAUGCAAGCUGUAAAAAGACUUACUUUGAGAGUAAAGGAAGGCUUCUUCUGGUUGGAGUAUGGCACAACAUCAGAAACUUCCAAGUUAGGCCUGCUGGAGGAGCUUAUCGCACAACAAACCAUACCUACAAGAUUUCAAUUAACCAAGCAACAGCCGUUACUCCGUCCAAUUUCAUGAAUGAUGAGCUAUAUCUUAAUUUGGUCGAUUUUGAGAGCGUUUUAUCUGGAACACUUGAUGAAAAACUCCUAAUAGGUAAAAUCGUAAGAUAGUUUCUAGACUUAAAUUGUAUACUUGCUACAUUUAAUAACUUUUCAAUGUUUGAUUAACAGAUGUUCUGGGCCAAGUUUUGGAUUGUGGUGCUGUCGAAACCAUUCAGUGUGCUGGGGGGGAACCCGCGUAAGAAACUAGAGUUCACCCUAAGAGACAUCAAGUAAGUUUUCUCUCAUCUACAUGCAAUCCAAGCAAUUUUUUUUUCAACAGAAUCACAACAAACCUCUAUUUAUGUCUUGCGCUGUAGUGAUUCAAGAAUACCAUGCUGUAUUUGGGGCAAAUUAACCGACAUUCUCCAUUCUGCCUGCAAUCAAGACGAUGGAAUGGUUACUUUGCUUCUGAGGUUUGCUAAAAUUGGCAAGUUUGGAGGUACAUAUUUUAACUCAUAUAGAUUUCGUUGUAAACAAAAUAAUAUUUAUAUAAAUAAGACUGUCUAAUAUCUAAUCUACAAAAUGGUAUCCACAACAGGAGAACUACAAAUAUCUAACUCCUUUGAUGCUUCUCAAAUGAUCAUCAACCCUACAAUACCCGACGCAGAAGCCUUUAAAGAUAUGUAAGGGGAUGAUUUAUUGUUUAUUUUACAGUAGCUAUUUGUCUAUCAUACUAACCUUUAAAAAUAUAAUUUUAAGGGAUACUGAAGAUGACAAAACUCUAAUGCCAUAUGAAAGUAAUGAGGAGAGUCAAGAGUACAUCAACAAGCAAGUUGAUCAGGCAGAUAAGCGAGUACAGCGUGAUAAGUGGUUUGCUAUAGCCCACUAAGAACAUCCAUGAAAUGAAAGCAUCAACUCAAGUAAGCAGUUUAAGUCCUUUAUAUUACAUAUAUUACAUUGUAUAGCUCGUGUAAGUGGGUUGUAACCAUUUUAAACUUUUAUUGCUUAGGUUGAUAGAUGUUUAGUCACUUGAACAGUCUAUGAAAUUGAUAUGGAUUGGUCCUGGUAUUACUUUGGUUGUGAUGGAUGCCAAAAAGGGUGACCAAAACCGUAACCAAGGUUAAGUUUGGUUGCAAUAAUUAACCUCGUCACGGUUCUCGUACAACCAAAACUUGAAAACUUCUUUACGGAACAAAUCUCGUAAAAAUAUGUUUGACAACAUCUUGCGAAAUAACCUUUGCAAAAAUUAAGCUCGACAACCUUUUACGAAAAUUGAUAACAUUUUGCGGAAUAACUUUCUUAAAAUUAAACUCGAUAUUAUUUUUCAAAAUAACUUUCGUAAAACUAAAGUUGGCAACCUUCGAAAAUCUAACAACAAUCGUAGAAAAAGAAUCUCGGAUAAGGAAAGAGAUGGAGCGAAAUCCGAGAAUCAAAAUUCGCUCAUCCGCCUCUCUCCACGGUGUCACCAUCCUUCCUCUCACGCCUCGAUCUGUCGCCAAAAUCUCAUCACCUGGAAAAUCUUCCUGAUCAUCCUUGGCACCUCCUGAUCAUCCUUGGCACCUCUUGAUCAUCCCUGGCUAUUCCUAAAACGCUAAAAAAGUUUUCGACAAGAUGCUCAUUCAUUUUUGUAAAUCCAAUGAUACUAAGAUUGAAACAUGGAUCACGAAAACCGCAAAUAUUGGCAGCAGCCUAAACACGGCCAGGAAAGCAGAGAAGUCCAGGAAGAGUCAAUAUUCUUGCUAUUCGAAAUGGGCAGACAGACACGAAAAGAGCAAGGGCAAAUGAGCAAGCAAAACGGAGAAGAGGUUAACCCGAAUCUUUGAAAAAACUAAGGUAUUUCCGACUUGAAAUCAGGCUUGGAAUUUUCGUUGGAAAUUACUAAGAAAUAGAAACGCCUUUGGACUGCCGUAGAACUUUAGGGAACUAAAAACCUAGGUGGAUAGUUUAGCGAACUAAGUCUUAGGCGAUUUUUCCUGUCCCGGUAUAUCGUUCCAUGACUGUUUAGGUAGAUCUUGCAAACCGAUCUAAACUCUCUGAAAAUCGAGAAACGAUCGCCACAGAUAUUCAGAUCACUUCCUAAAGAAAGAAAGAACUAGAGACACGAACAUCGACUUAAAACCAAUUCGUUUCUAGCGAUUUUUCUUAAAGCCGACAUAUCCCAAGUCGUCAACAUCCAAUUCACAGUCUCAGCAUCGUCUUUAAAUCAACUAAGACUGUCGAUCAUUCGAAUCCUCGGAAGAAGAAACGUCACAACCCAUCAAAGUAUCGGUUCAACCGUUUUCUUUCGUAAAAAAAGAGGGGGGAGUAGGUACAUAUACUAUACUCGUAUACUCCCAAACUUCAAAAACUUUUGCCUUGUCAUCAAGAAAACACUUUCGUCAAAGCAAACUCUCGCAACAGUAGGCAGACAAACAUUUAGGCAAUAUGAUGCCUCCAUAAAUCGUCCCACAAAAGCAAACGACAAUUUAAAAUUCGUCUAAACGCUAGCAACAUAUCCAGACGAUCAUGAACAUAUCUCAAAAGACUGUACAACAUAUGUUGUCGCAAUCAUGCGUAUAGAAAACCUGCACCAAUAUCAAACUGAAACUCGACGAUUAGCCAAAGUCUUGAAGCCCUUUCCGGCAUUAUAAAGCCAUAUUCGUAUAAAAAUUUCUACGAGAAAUCUUCAAGCAUCAAAGCAUUUCUUUCAGUUUCCGUUGAACCAAGUGAUUCACGGAAAAGCAUCGAGAACAUUUGUGACGAAGAAAACUCGAGAAUAAAUGUAGCAUCGAGCACAUUAAAGGGAACACUUUCUUCCCGAUCGUUGGAAAGAUCUACCUCUGGUUGACCAAUUUUUUCCAGAAACGAAUGUGUCAUGAGAAUCCUCUCAAAAAACCAAUGAAAAACGUUUUGCGACUAGAUCGUAGUGAAAUAAACUUCGGUGACACACCAUGAGUAACUCCAAGCAACUUUCACCUAAGAUCGAAAUCACAGCAGAAAUGUUUCUCGUAAAACCCGCAGAAACAACGCUACUUUGACAUAUGUAUACAUAUCACCGAUUUACAACCUUCGUAAGACCGGUCCCCAUUCCUUAUGCAAAAAAUCAUUCGUACAAUCAGACCAAAUCUUACGAAGAAACUUUCGAAAGUUAACAUAACAGGUUUUAUGAAGAAGUAUGUUUUGCAUAGCAAACACAAACCUGUAAGAUCUGAUUUUUGAUGAUCAAUCUAAACUUUAUUUCUUUGCAUUACGAUAUAAUAGAUCUCAUUUUUAGCCCUAUGGCUCGCUGGCUUCUGCCUUUCUUUUCCCUCGGUCACAUCUGAGAAGGCAGUCAUCCCUCCGCUAACUCCACACUGGUUAUGUAGCAAACCUCUUGUGCUUCGUCUUCCUCAGACAAAAACUACUCGAUUUUCAUAAGACUAUAGGUCACAUUGUACGAAAUAUUCGUCGUAUAACUGAAACCUAGAGGGGAGAAUCGUUUUCUAUGACUAUCAGCCAUAUUAACACGGAUAACCCCGGCAAACUUGGCCUAUCAAUCUCGACAAGCGCUCUUUGGCCUCCGUCAAUUACUCCUUCCAGUAAAAAUCCGAACCAGAAUUUGGCAUCCCCUUUAAAGACAAUCGUAAACUAACAUAACCUUAAUAUUAACACGAAAGCACCAGGAUCAGAUGCAUGACCUACAACGUCCUUGGCUAUCUGGGUGAACACAUCCUUCACGCCAAGCCAAAGUAUUUGAGAAACCAUCGCUCCAUCACUUAACGGCUAAACGACUAUCUGCAAUUUCUCUAAAAAAGUCAUGUGACUAUUAAGAGAAUAAUUAUCGUAUAGUCCACAGUCGGAAAUCAUCUGAUAAAUUCUUCGUAACGAAACCCAGUCCUGACAACCAAACUGUUAGCGGAAAACCAAAACUUGUCGACAAUCGACCAAGUUUGAUACAUUCCACAGAUCACUUUAAGCCCGCUAUGUUUUACCCAUAUUACGCGGCAUGUAAGGAAAAAUUUGUAACAAAGCUUCUAGAGCUAUACGAAACAUCCUAAAAAUGCACGAAAUAGAUUUCGGAAGGCCAAAACUUCAUAAAGCACUAUGAAGGAAAACGCUUCUUCCCAUGGACAAAUUUACGCGACCCCUCAGUCCUAAUUCCUCGAUCGCAAAUCAAAUUAUUAGCAUCCAAACAGGAACAACGAUUUUGGCUGCGAACAUCCGUAGACAAACCAGAAUGUUUCUCAAAAGCAGGGCUAAGACUAAACCCUUGCAAUAUCGCGAAACAUCUUCAAGCCCGUGAACAUUUCAAGCACGAAACGAGGCAAACGAAAAAAUCAAUCUUCAGCAGUGUGAGACAUCGCAGACGCCUGAAGAACCAUUUUUCGACAAAAUUACCUUCCUCGAUAAAGGCACCUUCUUGGAAGACCAAACAGUCAUACAUACUAACAUCUUCUCAAACAAGUAUUCUUCGCGAAGAUUCAAACACGGUAAUAACUAACGAUAAGUUUGUUGCUGAUCACAACAAACUCUUAACGUCCUAAACAGACUUAGCCAUCUCGUAGAGAUAGCUCUCGUACACCCGACACAAGGGUAAUAGCGCCAUAUAAAAAAAAUCCGAAAUUUUGGUCAGCACUUUCGGGAGACUUAAAAAUUAUCCUCGAAGAGAUGCUCGAUUCCUACCAUACAAGUCACGUAAGCCGAGAACAUAUUGUGGACUUUAAACCGGGAUAGAAUCAGGUCGGAAACGAUACGGGACCGUAAAGGUCUUACUCGAAAACAGGUCAUAAGAACCUUAACUCCAAGACGAACUAUGAAAGGCUUGAUCCCUUCAACAAGGGUACGUAGGCAGACGUCAUACGGUGCAGCCCCAAUCUUAUCGCGUUCCACUCUUAGAAGAGCGAGAAGACCACUUACCACGGAUCUUUUCAACCAUUAAUUCCGCCUAACUUGCCUAACUUGCCAAGCAAGUCGCUGGAACCUCACGCUAGAAGCUCAUGGUUCGAUGGAAUCAAUGUCUGAAAGUCCCUGAAAAUAUUUCCCGCAAUAAAAACAAAAAAAAAGAAGUCAAGAAAGAGCGGAAAAACUAUUGUCGGGGUCAAAAACGGAUACGACGAAGUUAACAUCCAAAUAUCUUUAAAAAUUCAGCAUGAACGUUUUUACGAAAAGUUUUCUUCGUAAAGAUUACUUGUACGAAAAAUCUUGCGGUGAAAUAUUGCACCAAUCUCGGUUCAUUCAUCGAAACUAAACACGCGUAGCCCAAAAACACGUUCAUGGAACAUUGGAAAAGGAUCCGAACAAUAUCGCCACGUAGCGACCGGUCCGCGAACGAGCCGGUCGCUACGUAGCGACCGACCAAGCCACUUAGUCGGUUGCUACAUAGCGACCGACCCGCGAACGAGUCGGUCGCGACGUAGCGACCGACCAAGCCACUUAGUCGGUCGCUACGUAGCGACCGACCAAGCCUUCCAUUCAGUCGCUACGUAGCGACCGAUCCAUCACAGAACCGGUCGCUACGUAGUGACAGAACCGUCUCGGACAUCGAUCAACGGAUACGACCCAAAUCUGUGCAUUCUCGUAUGUUCCUCAAUGGCAGCUCCCAUAUACCACGGUCAUAUCAUUUCUCACUCCCAUCGAUUGGAGUUAUCAUUUAAACUUUAUGAUAAAAAUCGCGGAAAGUUUGUUUUUAUCGAUAAAAAAGUAAUAAAUGUUUCGAAUCGAAAGACGGCCCAAAUAUGUCUAAAACGUGAUUAGAAACCCACUUAUGAUUUUUUAAGGAAAAUCCCACAGAUACUAUGGCGAUUUAUACUUAGUCCGCAAGAAAAGAUAAUGUCAAAUUUCCGGAAAUAAAUGUUAAGUUUCCGCAGAUAAUCAUGAAGAUCGAAAAAAAUAGAAUAUCUUCAUUUUCGAGUUAUUAUGGCUUAAGGGUAGAAGAGGAAAGCUCAAACCGAACUUGGAGGGAGUAUAUAAGGAGUCCUAGGCGAGAGACACAAAAAAAGAACUUUUUCACAAAACUUAGCACUUAGAAUAUUUAGGCAACUUUUCGUUUUUGUUAUUUCAAGUUGCGACUCAACUAGGUUUUGCAGUUUUAGGUUGUUAGAACUAGGAAUCUCGCCGACAGCUCUCAUAGCCGAGGCUUCUACCUUGUUGUAACGCUUAUACGCGAAUUCGGAAUAAAACUCCUUUUGCUCUUUUUACGAUUUCUUAUUUUUUUCGUCUUUACAUUCGUGUUCUGAUUGCUUGGCGUGUGGUUUAGCAGAUAUCCGAGACCUCUGGGAAAUUAGAGUUUUCCUAACCUUCCUAAUUUAAACGGAAAUCGACAGUGCGAAUUUCGGUUCCCACAUUAUAUGAAAAAUUCAUUCAAAAAUAUACAUAUAUUCAAAAAUUGAUUUUUACUAACAUAUUUUCCAAUGACCAUUAUAAAAAUGUUUUCAAUAUAUAUAAGAAAAAUACAAUACAAAGCCCAAUUUCAAACACCAACUUAAUUAUGGUUUUUGUAUUUCAGAUUGAAAUUUAAAAAUAUAAUAUAUUUGAUUAUUUAUUUGAUUGUACGUAUAAAAUAUUAUUAAUUAUAAGAUUACUUAUUUGCUGGUUCGUGUUCGGGUCUGUUUGGGGUUUCGUGUUAAGUUCAGAUCUUUGAGGAUUCGGCUCGGAUUUGGAUAACCAAUUUAAAUUAUUUUAAAAAAAUUAAAAUUUAUUCUAUACUUUAAUUUAAGAAAAAAUCUGUAAACAAUAUAAUAUAUUACAUAUAAAUUUGAAUAACAUAUGUUAGAGUACCUAGUUUAACAUAUACAUUGGUUUGGUUUAAAUAUUUGGAUAGAGAAUUAAUAAUUAUUUAAGUAUUUUGGGAAUUUUGAGUAUAUUUUAACUAUUUUAGAUAUUUAUGUUUGAUUAUUUUUAUACAUUUUCAAGUAUUUAAAUGAACUUAAGAGUAUCAUAUAUAUUCUGGAUGUUUUUAUAUAUAUUAGAUCUAAAAAUAAUUAAUAUAUCUAUAUAUAUAUAUAAGUAUAUAAAUCUAUUUUGGAUACCCAAAAUACUUCGGUUUGGAUCGGAUUAGGUUUCAGUUCUUCAAAUAUCAAAAUUUGAAUAAUUCAGAUAUUUAAUCAAUUUUGGUUCGGAUUUGGUACUACUUAUUCGGAUUAGGAUCGGUUCGGUUGUUUGAAUUUGAGUUUUUUUUGCAAAACAAAUAGCAACAUAUUUUUUAAAAAAUACACCCGUGCGGGCGCGCGGAUCAAAAUCUAGUCUAUCUUAUUAAAGUAGAAGCACUUUAAGCUUUUGUUUGGUAACAUAGAUAGUAGUUAAAAAAAAUAUAUAGUGUUGUUUGGAAACAUGGAUAGCAAUAUAUUAAAGAAAAAAGUAAUGAGCUUAUGUUAUCAUGAAAAAUUAGAAAUUCAUUAUAUUAUGAAAAUUAUAUAUAUGAGUGAGCUUUCAAAUGUACAAAAAUGGCUGGUCCAAUCUAAUUACCUAAAAAAUAUUGCCAAAAAUGACUCAAAACUUGAUUUUGAAUACAAAAGUGUACCCCAAAUUCAAUCAAAUGCAAAAGUAACCCAAAAGCCUAGUGAAAUUACAACAGCCCCCUUAUGAACAAACAAAAAACAUGUAUUCAAUUUUACCAUUAUAAUCCUCCGUUAGAGAAGACUUCUUUUUAAGUCUUCUCUACGGUGACUUCUUUUUAAGUCUUCUCUACGGUGACUUCUUUGUAAGUCUUCUUGUUCAGUAGAUCUUAAAAAUAAUUUUAUAAUUUUAUAAAAAAAUAUUUUGAUGGGUAAAAAAUUGAAAUCAUGUAAUAAUAAACAUUUCUCAAUGAUGUAAAUUUAGUUCAUCUGAAAUUGAAUUAUUUUCAACAUAUAUUGGCUCAUGAGUCAUUGGUUUAGGGUUUGGUAACAUAUGUUAUAGUAUUGUAUGUAUCUUUGGGGUUAGAUUCUGAAAUCUUAUCAUCAUUUUUUUUUCUUUUUCAAAUUGACCCAUAUAUGUUUAGUAACAAUCUAAUAACUUUAUUUAAACACUUUCUAAGUUCUUUUUUAAGUUUAAGAAAGUAUUUUUUUUUGCAUAGUUAAUUGAUUUUAGGGUCUGGAAGACUCACAGAAGACUUAAAAAGAAGUUUUCAGACACAUCUCGCCUAAAUUUUAGUAGAAUUUAUUGUUCCCACCUAAAUUUUUGAAUAAUUUAGGUUUCCUGCCUAAAUCAAAGUCUUCCAUAAGUCUUCCAGGAGUCUUCCAUAAGUCUUCCAUAAGUCUUCCAGAAGUCUUCUAGAGAAAGUCUUCUCAUGGAUUAGAUCUUAAAAAUAAUUUAAUUUUUUUAUAAAAAAUAUUUUCAUGGGUUAAAAUUUGAAAUCAUAUAAUAAUAAAAUACUUUUCAAUGAUGUAAAUUUUGUUUAUCUGAAAUUGAAUUAUUUUCAACAUAGAUGAGUGAAUGUAGAUUGGUUCAUGAGUCAUUAGAUUCUGAAAUCUUACCUUCAGUAUUUUUUCUUUUUCAAAUUGACUUAUAUAUGUUUAGUAACUAUCUAAUAACUUGAUUUAAACACUUUCUAAGUUCUUUUUUAAGUUUAAGAAAGUGUUUUUUGCAUAUUUAUAUGAUUUUAGGGUUUAGAAGACUUACAGAAAAUUUAAAAAGAAGUCUUCCGACACAUCCCGCCUAAAUUUAAGUAAAAUUUAGGGUUUCCGUCUAAAUUUUGGAAUAAUUUAGGUUUCCCGCCUAAAUCAAAGUCUUCCAUAAGUCUUUCAUGAGUCUUACAUAAGUCUUCCAGAAGUCUUCUGGGUUGAAAAUAUUUAACCUAAUUAGAAUUUUUGUCUCCAUAUAUAAAGAAAAUUUGCACAUUCUCUUUCUUCCUAUCAAAUGACUGCAACAAAAAUGUAAUGUUUUUCACUUUAAAACUCUCUAACCUCUCUCUUACCUCUCUGAACAUCAAAACACAAAACAUUAUUUCCAUUUCUCACUUUUUCUUAUGUCUUCUCACUAAUAUAUCUUCUUUUUGCAGGUUUUUCAUUACAUGAUUCUCAUUUUUCACUCUUUCAAAGGUAGUUCUCUAAAUUGUGGAUAUGAAUUUAGGUAUGUUUAUAUGUUAGAUUCUAAAAAGCUAUAGAUUCAACAUAGUGUGACUGUUUUGUUUAUUUUGUAAGCAUAAAAUUUUCAUUUUUGAAGUUUUUCUAUGUUUUGAAGUCAUUUGAAUGUUUUUGAAUUUGCAGGUUUUUACAGAUUUGAGAGACUUUGAAAGACUUCUCAGAAGACUCUCAGAAGACUCUUGGAAGACUUCAUGGGAAGUCUUCUAGCAUAAAAUGCAUUAGAAGACUUUCUAAGAAGGCUUCUGAGAAGUCUUCUGCCUAAAGUGGUAUAAAUUUUAGAUAUGUAUUUUGUGUAUUUUAUAUAUUAGAUUCUAAAAAAUUAUAGAUCCAACCUAAUGUGAUUGUUUUGUUUAUUAUCUAAAAAUUUAUUUUUGAAGUGUUCUCUAUUUUGAAGUCAUCUGAAUGUUUUUGAAUAUGCAGACUUUUCAGAUCUGAGAUAGAUUUUGGAAGACUUCUGGGAUAAUUCUUGGAAGACUCUCGAAAAACUCUCGAAAGACUCUCGGAAGACUUCUUGAGAAAUCUUCUAAUGUAUUUUAUGCUAGAAGUCUUCAGAAAGUCUUUUGUCAAAAGUGGUACAAAGAGAUGAUGUAAAGUGGAGUCCAAGCUUAUCUAUGUUGAGAAAUAAUAUCUAGCUGUGUAAUAAUUUUGUUUAUGGUCUUUUUGUGAUUUGUAUGUGCAAUAUUUUAGUUGUGAAUUAUUUUUUAAACUUUAAGAGAUGUUAAUAACAAGAAUGGUAAAUAUGUUUAUGUUUUGCCAACAGUACUUGACUUCAUUAAAGUUACUAAUGCAACAUAUCAAAAAAUAUUUAAAUCAUUCUACCCAUACAUAACAAAACACAACAACACAAAAACAUAGUAAAAUUUGCUAAAACUAAGAGAGAAGACUUCUCAAGAAACCUUAAUCAAAUUCAUAAAAUAUCAAAAUUAAAUUUUAAUUGAAAGUUGUAAUUUUAAAUCUCAUGGAAGUUAGUAAUUGUAUCUCAUGAAGAAGACAACACAAAAACAUAACAUCAACUUAAUAAAACAAAAUCAUCAAAGAAGACUUCUCCAUUUAGCUAGAAACAUUAUUAAACAUCAAUGUUUGUAACUUCAUAAUUAUAACCAAUUAAGUUAUAAAUUUGACUCAUUAGUCCGAAUAUUGACUAACAAACAUGAAUUAGCAAGAAAAUAUUAAAAAAUUAUUUUAAUUUUGGAUAAAUUUGAAAUUUAAUAAAUAUUUACAUAGAAGACUUCUUUUGAAGUCAUCCACGGAAGACUUCAAAAGAAGUCUACUCUGUGUAGAUUUCAAAAAAAAGUUUUCUAUUUAGGUCAUUUUUGCAAUUGCAAAUUUAUGAAGGAAGAUUUCUUAAGAAGUCUACUCUACAGAAGACAUCUUUGGAAGUCUUCCUUUGUAAAUAUUGGCUUACUUUUGAAAUUGAUAUUUUAUCAAAAUUCCCAGAGAAGAGGUUACUUUUGAAUUUGACCAAAGUUAGUCAGAAUUUUGACUUUUUAUACAAGUAUUCUCCAAGGAAGUCUACCUGGAGAAUACUUCAAAAGAAGUCUUCUCUAAGUCUUCUGGAAGUCUUCUCAAUGUCGCAAGAAGUCUGCUGGGUUACUUUUGCAAUUGACUAUAUUUGACUUUUCGAGAGAAGACUUCUUUAAAAGUCUUCCGUCGGAUGACUUCUCUAGAAGUCUUCUCUCGCGGACAAAGGUUUGACCAAAACCCAAAAUUAAACUCGAGAAGCCUUCUUAGAAGUCUUCUCAUUGAUAUUAAAUGUGUGUUUACUAUUAUGUUUCAAUUGCAAAAGUAACCCACAUAAACAUCUUCUGGCAUUGAGAAGACUUAGGGAAGACUUUCAGAAGACUUCUGUAGAAGUUUUCUCCAGGUUGACUUCUUUAGAAGUCUUAUACAAAAAGUCAAAUUUUUUACCAAUUUCGGUCAAAUUUAAAAGUAACCUGUUUAUCCGAGAAGACUUCUCUAGGGAUUUCAAAAAAAUUUGUUUACAAAGGAAAAUUAGAAGACUUCUAGAGAAAUCUUCUAUUAAAAACACACAAAAGUUCAAUUGCAAAACUAAACUAUGCAUUGAUCUGAAGAAUAAAAUGUAGUUCGCUAUUUCAUACUUUGAACUCGUGAGAUGACUUGCGUGGUUUCCCCAAUCACCCAAAACUUCAUCACAACAGCUACCUACUCGUUAAUCACCAUGAAUCGUGAGCUUAUGAACCUUACAUAAUUUGUAAUCAAAAUUUUCAGUUUUUUUGAUGAAUUUGGAGAGAAAGUGUAAGAUAUGUGGUUUGUGUGGAUAAGAAAUGAGAAAGUAUGAGAAAAAAUCAAACCUUUAGGGCAUUAACACUCUUAAUUUGGUAGUUCAUGGUGGUUGAGGUAUUGAUAUCAAUGAGAAUAUUGUAAAUAUUUGGUCAACAUAAGGAUGGUAAAGUAAAAGACUUAUUUUCGAAAUAAAAUAAAUAAAAAAGUAAUGACAUUUUCGUGAAUAACUAAAAACUUCUAGGGGGAAUAGGACAAAACAAAUUUUCAAUAAAAGCAUAAGUUAUUUUUGUGUCUGACUUAAAAUUUUGAGUCAUUUUUGAAAGAACCCCAAAAAUCUUUGUCUAAAAUAAUCAUAAAAUGAAAUUUAAAUUUUAUAUACAUAUUUCAAAUCAAAAUUUUAAUUUAAAAUUGAUUUAUAUCAAAAAUUGAUUCAAAAAUAUACAUAUAUUCAAAAAUUGAUUUACUAAAAUGUUUUUUAUAACCAUUAUAAAAAUGUUUUAAAUAUAUUUAAAAAAAUACAAUUAAUAUGAUUAUUUAUAUGAUGGUACCGAUAAAAUACUAUUAAUUAUAUGAUUAUUUGUAUGACGGUAGGUAAAAAAACACAACUAAUUAUAUGAUGACACAUAUAUGAUAUUUAAUAGUGACGUGAAAAAAUAAAUAACAACAUAUUUUUGCAAUAUUAAAUCUUCUAUCUUAUUAAAGUAUAAGUACCUUUGGGAAUGUUUGGAAACAAAAAUAACAUAAUUAAAAAGAAAUAUAAUGUUGUUUGAAAAUAAAGAUAGCAGUAUAUUAAAAAGUAAAUAAUGGGCUUAUGUUAUUAAAAAAAUUGAAGUCCAUUAUAUUUUUAUAAAUUAUCUGUUUGGACCAGAUCUAAUUACUUUUUUUAUGCAUCUGGUCCAAUAUAAUUAACUAAAAAAUAUUUUUUCUAAAUUAAUCAUUAAACAAAAUUCAAAACACAAGUUGAUUCAAAAAUAUACAUGUAUUCAAAAAUUGAUUUUUACUAAUGUACUUUCCAAUAACCAUUAUAAAAUUGUUUUCAAUAUAUAUAUAAAAAAUACAAUACAAAGGAACUAAUAUAUUGAGUAAACCUUCUUUCCAAUUUUUUUUAUGAACCACCGAAAUAGAAUUAGAUAUACAAUACUAGAAAUAGCUAUAAAAUUUGAGUUACAAUAUCAAAUAAAAAAAUGAAACAAAAAAAAAUAUGAAUGUAUUAGUAUUCCUUUAUUCUUAUUACAAAUACAAUAAUAGUCAAACAAUAAUAUAUAACGGGACUAUAAUUUUUAAAAUCCAAAAAUUACCAAUUAGUUAUGAAUUUAUAAUGUUCUUACAAAUUAAAGCAAACACUUGUGCAAACGCACGGCUCAAGAUCUAGUCUAUAUUAUUAAGAUUGAAGUACAUUUGAGAAUUGUUUGGAAAUAUGGAUAGUAGUAUAAAUGAGAAUCGUUUGGAAAUAUGGAUAGGAGUAUGAAAAGAAAUAUAUUGCUUUUUAAUAAUUUCAUUAAUUGUAUUACAUUAACAAUACAUCACAGCAUUAAUUAUAUUUACCUUAAUAAUACAUUAAAUCAUUAAUUAUAUUACCAUAUUAGCAAAUAAUGUAGAUUUUUAUUUACUAGUUAAUCAACACUAACUUUGUUCAAAUUAUAAAAAUCAAAAAUGUAAAAUAACUAGGUUUUGCAUAUGGUUAAUAGUUCGGUUUAAUAUGUUUUACUAAAACCUUUUUUUAUCUUACUUCUAAUCGAUGAAAAAUUACGUAGCCAUACUUAUAAUUAAAACUUAAAUCAAAAUAAAUAAAACGUAUUACAUUUAUUAUCACUUAAUGAUUCACUCCAUAUUACUAUUUUACUAAAUAAAAAAAUAUUUAGUUCCCUUAUUUUAGCCAAACAUAUAAAAAUAUUUUUUCAAUUUAUUUACAGAAUCGGUUAGGUAUUGACAUUCGGGAGCUCAUUCAGGUACAAGUUGUUUCUUUCGAAAUCAAUUUUUGGAUUUUUUUAAAAUUAGGCUCCGCUUGGAUAUUAUACAUUUAUGUUUGCAUUCGAAUUGGGUCCUCAUGGGUCUGAAUGAUUUUGUUUGAUCAUAAGGGGGUUGGAUUGAAUUUGUGAUAUACUUUGGGAAAAUGGGCAUUUUACUCCCCAGCUAUUUGAAAUUGGCAGUUUCAAUACUCAAGUAUCUCUCGCGCAGAAUUAUUUUCCAACUUAUAGUUUACUACUGCGCAAAAUUAGAAACAAAAUAGUCAACCAUUAACAGCUGUAUGGAAAAUAACAGUUUAUGAAAACUUUUUGAUGGUUGAAUUUGAAUCUUAAUUUUGCAUAUUCAAUGAUUUGUUGGAGAAUAAAUAUGUGCAUAUAAUACUUGAGAAUUUAAUUUUUCGGUUGAAAAUACUUGAGAAAUUAAAAGCAGCAAUCUCUUUUUUUUUAAGUCAUAAUUUAAAAUAUUCUCAAGUUAGAUGUAACCAAUAUUACUAAAUAUUUACCUUUUGAAAGAGAUUUGUGAGUUUUUACAAUGUCGUUUAAAAUAAUACAAAUAACUAUAUGUAAUGCUCCGACCUUCCACGGCUAAUAUAUCAUCCACGCCCGCUCAAUCGGCCUGUAUAAAAUAAGUAUAUAUAAUUAUCUUUACUAUAAAAAAAAUUAUAUAUUGUACAUUAACAAUAUAAUGCAAAUGUAAGUUAUCUUCUAAUAUUUUAUAUGCUUUUAAAACCUUAAAAAAAAUUCUGGAAUUAAGUAUCUUAUAUAUUAAUUCAAAUUGAGAAUCGUUUUAACUAGGAAUUAUUUUAUAAAUCAUCCAAAGUGAUUUUAUAAACAUGAAGUAACAAUAUGAUGUAACUGUAAUUAUUUUGUAUUUGCUAUUUCAUUGUAAAAACUCAACAAUCUCUUUCUAAAGAUAAAUAUCUAGAAUAAUAAUUUUAUUUAACUUGAAAAUAUUUUUAAUUAUGAUUUUUUAAAGAAUUAAUGUUCGUGACUUUCAAUCUUAUAAGGAGGAAUAUAAAGGAAAGUUAAUUUUUAAUUCCUCAAGUAUUUUCAAUCGGCAAAUUAAAUACUCAAGUAUUAUAUGUGCAUAUUUAUUCCUCAACUAAUCAUUGAGUACGCAAAAUUAUGAUUCGAAUAUUCAACUGUUAAAAAUUUGACGGAAACCGUUAUUUUUCUGUCCAUCAGCUAACAGUUAACUAUUUUGUUCCCAAUUUCGCGCAAUCACCUUUUAGUUAGGGAAUAAUUAUGCGCGAGCAAUACUUGGAUAUUAAAAUUGCUGAUUUCAAAUACUUGGAGGAUAAAAUGUUCAUUUUCCCGGUAUACUUUUACAUUUAUAAAUCAAGUUCUGGGUCAUAUUUGACAUAUUCCCUUUCAUUAUAAUCAUAUACUAGUUGAUGGUUUAGACCUUGUGCGAACUAAUAUAUAUAUAUACCUAAUCUUUUUAUUUUUAAUAUCUAGUUUUAUAAAAAAAAUUAAAUUAUUAAAUUAGACACAAAUUAAAAAUUAAUAUUGUUAGUUAUAUAUUCAUAUUGGUAAUCAAUGUAUUAAAUUAUAUUCUUUUGUUUCAUAAUUUUAUUUAUGAUGUAUAUUUUGGAUCAAAAUAUUGAUUAUAGUAGUAAUCAAAUUAUUGUAUUUCCUGACUGAAAAGAAAUCUAAUUGGCAGUUAAAGGAUUAUAAACAAUCACAACCCAUAAAACAUCAGCAAAAAUUACAAUAGCCAACAUACAUUAUAUAUUCCGUAUAAUUUAGAUUUUGAAAAAGUGAAACAAAAACACAAAAUAAUAAUUAUAAAACAUUAUAUGUGUAUUAUCUUAUCUUAGAUUAUAUUUAUAUUAUGUUUAUUAUUGUCAAUUUUUAGUGUUAUUUAAUAUUUUACUCUUAGUUUUCAUGUUUCCAUUUAUUUUUAAUAUUUUUAGUUAAUUUUCAUUUCGUACUUUAUAUAAUAUUUACUAUUUUAGUUUAAAUAUAUUAUUUUGAUAACAUUUGUGAUUUUACGGAUAAAUUCAUUAUGUGCAUAAAAUCAUUUGUGAUUUUGAUGUAUGUCAUGAUAAAUAUAAGUUAAUUUAUUUUAGGUUAGGAAUAUGAUAUUUUAAUAUUGAAUAUAUAAAAAAAAUAUUUAACGUAAGUAUAUAAUUUAUAUUUUACGACAAAUUAUCAGUGAUGCUUUGGUUUUAAUCUUAACUUUAAUAUUGUAAUAAUCUGUAUUUGGAUAAAUAUUUCCAGUAAAAGUCAUAGAAAAUAACUAUAAUACUAGUCAUUAAAAUCAUAAAAUAAAUAUAAGAUAAAUAUAACUAUGAUAUUAUCGGUAGAUAUUUUUAAUAUCAACUUCUAAUAUCGAUACUUGUAGCCAUCACUACCGCAGGUCUUUGAUCAUUGUCACGAAUAGACAUUAAUUAAAUGUCCUGAACAUCAUGCUAAGUAUAUAUUUUCUUAAAAAAAUAGUAUAUAUAUAUAUCGGUAGAAUAGGUUAAUGUUUAUGAAUUAUCUUAAAUAUAAUGAUAAAUUUAAUAAUAUAUAUAUAUAUAUAUAUAUAUAUAUAUAUAUAUAUAUAUAUAUAUAUAUAUAUAUAUAUAUAUAUAUAUAUAUUGGUAGAAAUAGGUUAAUAUUUAUUAAUUAUCUUAAAUAUUAUGAUAUAUAUUUAUAUUAAAAUAAAAUUUUAAAUAAUAAAAUUCAUUAAUUAAACUAAUGACUUAUCCUAAAAUCAGAAAAGAUGAUAAGUAAGCAAAUUCAAUUCUCAAAUAAUAGUAUAUUAGGUGUUUGUCCGCAAUUUUGCGAGUAAUUUUAUUAUAUGAAGAAAUAUAUAUUAUAUUUACAUUUUUAUAAUUUUUGAAUGAUAAUUAAAAUUUUAAAAUUUUAAUUUUAAAUUUUAAAUAGUUGGAUAGUUAAAUAGAAGAUCUGUGAGAUUUAAAAUAGUUCAACAACGUAAACCUUAGUCAUUACGAAUAUUUCUCUUACAGAAAAGCAAUAUUAUAAUUAAUCAGAUAAUUGGUUGUGGAAUUACUUUAUAUUUUAUUUUUAUUUUAACACAUGAAAAAACGGAAAUACGCUAGCUUUUUAGGAAAUAAAAAUAGAAUGUUUUUGUGUAUGACCAAUGCAAUGAUCGAAUGUUUUUAU